rnacentral:lncRNA from 1 species
AUCUGCGGUUUACUAUAUUUUUGCAGGUAUCGCAUCAGAAGAUUUAUCUACAAAAUAUGCAUGAAUAAAGAGAGGAAAUUCUUGAAUACACAGAGAUUGAAGACAGGAAAAAUCUGAGCCAGAUAUUGAAGUUGGCAGAUUCUAAAAUCCACAUGGAAAAACAAAGGAUCCAGAAGAACAAACAAAAAACACUGAUAAAGAAGAACAAAACUGGAAGUCUUAUACAUCCUGCUUUUCAACUUCACUGCAAAGCUACAGUAAUGAAGGCAGCCUGCUACUGGCAUAAGAAGAGACACAUAGAUCAAUGAAGUAAAAUUGACAGCUCAGAAAUGAACCCUUACAUGUAUAGUUAAUUGAUUUUCAACAAGAAUGCUUAGACUAUUAAAUGAAGUAAAAUGGUCUUUUCUUCAACAAAUAAUGCCAGGACAACUGAAUAUUCAUGCUAAAGAAUCAAGUUGGAUCCUUAUCUCUCACUGUUACCAAAAUCAACUCAAAAUGAAUAAUAAACCCAUGUGUAGGAACUGAUACUCUUGGAAUAAAACUUUGAAGUAAUGUUUGUGAUUUUGAGUUAGUUUUCUUAGAUAUGACACUAAAAUCAGGAUAUAAAUUGUACUUCAUCAAAACUUAAAACUUUUAUGCUUCAAAGAACACCAGCAAGAAAGUCAAAAGGUAACUCACAGAAUGUCAGAAAAUAUGUGCAAAUGACAUAUCUAAUAAGGGACUGAAAUCCAAAAUGCAUAAAGAACUAUCACAACUCAGUUACAAAAAGACAACCCAAUUUUUAAAAUGAGCAAAAGAUUUGAAUGAUCAUUUCUUCAAGGAGAUAUACAAUUCAACAAUAAGUACUGAAAAGUUGCUCAAGUCAAUUAGUCAUUAGGUAGAUGCAAAUCUAUGCCACAAACAGCGCUUUCUACUUGCUAGGAUGACUACAAUGAAAAGACAGUAACAAGUCUUGGCAAAGAUGUGGAGAAAUUGGAUCAGCACAUUGCUGACGGGAUUGUAAAACAGGGCCAUGACUUUGGAAAACAGUUUAACAAUUCCUCCAAAUAUUAAACAUGUAGUUAUCUUUAUAACCCAGCAAUUGCACUUCAAUAUGUAUGUGCCCAAGAGAAAGGAAAACAUAUGUCUACACAAAAGCUUGUACAAGAAUGUUCAUAGCAGCAGUAUUCAUACUAGUCAAGAAAGUAUAAAGAAAUCAAAAUGUGGUAUAUCCAUACAUAGGAAGUUAUAUAGCAAUAAAAUGGAAUGAAGUGUUAAUAUUUGCUAUAACACAGACGAACUUGGAAAACAUUACACUAAAUAACUGAAGCUAGUGAUGAAAGGCCAGAUACUACAUGAUCUCAUUUAUAUAAAAUAUUCAGAAUAGGCAAAUCCAUAAAGACAGAAAGAAAGAUUAGUAUUUGCUAAGGGCUGGGAGUUGGAGUAGGGAGAAUGAUGAGUGAUUGCUAGUGUAUAUAGGUUUUUUUGGUGUAGUGGUAAUAAAAAUGUCCUCUAUUGGAUACUGGUAAUAAUUGCAUAACACUAAAUAUUCUAAAAAGCACUAAAUUGGUUUUCAGAGGGCAUAAAGGGGAGGCAGAAGCAGAGGAAGAGAGAGACAGAGAGAAUGAAGGAGAGGGAAGGGAUGGACCUUAAAAAAAUACAGAGAGAAAUGACAGGACAUCUAAAACUAAUGACAACUAGAAUGACAGCUGACUUCACAUCAGCAGGAAUAAAAAAAUCACCUAUGAAAAAAAUAUAUAUGUAUAUGUAUAUGAUAGAGAUGCUACUGUAAAAAAUAAAAUAGGGAAAGGAUGGAUUGUUUUUUAAAAAUUACUGUUCCAUUACCUAGCUAUAUACGUGAUUUGAAACUUAAAACUAGAUCCCUGCUCACAACAUAGAGAACGUUUAAAGACUAAAAUUUGAAAAGCAAAUUUUUAAAAUUUAAAAUUGUAACAUAUAUUAUAUAUAAUUAAAAUGUUAUUUUCCAUAUAAACUUUAUAUACAUUAUAUGUUGUGUGUGUGCAUAUAAAAUCAUGAAGCGAAUAUGUAAAAAAUAAA